GAGCGCCCGUGGCCUAAUGGAUAAGGCAUUUGACUUCUAAUCAAAGGAUUGUGGGUUCGAAUCCCACCGGGCGUGCC
rnacentral:tRNA from 1 species